AUUGAACGCUGGCGGCAUGCUUUACACAUGCAAGUCGAACGGUAACAGGGUGCUUGCACCGCCGGCGAGUGGCGAACGGGUGAGUAAUACAUCGGAACGUGCCCUGGAGUGGGGGAUAACUAGUCGAAAGAUUAGCUAAUACCGCCUACGACCUGAGGGUGGAAGCGGGGGACCGCAAGGCCUCAUGCUAUAGGAGCGGCCGAUGUCUGAUUAGCUAGUUGGUGGGGUAAAGGCCUACCAAGGCGACGAUCGGUAGCUGGUCUGAGAGGACGAUCAGCCACACUGGGACUGAGACACGGCCCAGACUCCUACGGGAGGCAGCAGUGGGGAAUUUUGGAAAAUGGGCGAAAGCCUGAUCCAGCAAUGCCGCGUGUGUGAAGAAGGCCUUCGGGUUGUAAAGCACUUUUGUCCGGAAAGAAAUGGCUCUGGUUAAUACCUGGGGUCGAUGACGGUACCGGAAGAAUAAGGACCGGCUAACUACGUGCCAGCCGCCGCAGUAA
rnacentral:rRNA from 1 species